rnacentral:tRNA from 1 species
GGAAGGUUUAGCCGAUUGGCAACGGCACCUGUCUUGAAAACAGGCGAGCGAUGAGCCUUGCGAGUUCGACUCCCGCACCUUCCG